AUACGGAGGGUGCAAGCGUUAUUCGGAAUCACUGGGCGUAAAGGACGCGUAGGCGGGAAGCCAAGUCUGAUGAGAAAUCCUAUGGCUCAACCAUAGAACUGCAUUGGAAACUGGUUACCUAGAGUAUGGGAGGGGGAGAUGGAAUUAGUGGUGUAGGGGUAAAAUCCGUAGAUAUCACUAGGAAUACCGAAAGCGAAGGCGAUCUCCUGGAACAAUACUGCCGCUAAGGCGUGAAAGCGUGGGGAGCAAACGGGAUUAGAAACCCCAGUAGUCC
rnacentral:rRNA from 1 species